rnacentral:rRNA from 1 species
GCGGCGUACGGGUGCGGAACACGUGUGCAACCUGCCUUUAUCAGGGGGAUAGCCUUUCGAAAGGAAGAUUAAUACUCCAUAAUAUAAUUUACGGCAUCGUAGAUUAUUGAAAACUCCGGUGGAUAGAGAUGGGCACGCGCAAGAUUAGAUAGUUGGUGAGGUAACGGCUCACCAAGUCGAUGAUCUUUAGGGGGCCUGAGAGGGUGAUCCCCCACACUGGUACUGAGACACGGACCAGACUCCUACGGGAGGCAGCAGUGAGGAAUAUUGGACAAUGGGUUAGCGCCUGAUCCAGCCAUCCCGCGUGAAGGACGACGGCCCUAUGGGUUGUAAACUUCUUUUGUACGGGAAAAAACCCCUCUACGUGUAGAGGGCUGAUUGUACCGUAAGAAUAAGGAUCGGCUAACUCCGUGCCAGCAGCCGCGGUAAUACGGAGGAUCCAAGCGUUAUCCGGAUUCAUUGGGUUUAAAGGGUGCGUAGGCGGAAUGAUAAGUCAGUGGUGAAAGCCUGCAGCUUAACUGCAGAACUGCCAUUGAUACUGUCAGUCUUGAGUAAGGUAGAAGUAGCUGGAAUAAGUAGUGUAGCGGUGAAAUGCAUAGAUAUUACUUAGAACACCAAUUGCGAAGGCAGGUUACUAUGUCUUAACUGACGCU